GAGUGGAUUCCCACCCUUUUUUAAAAGAUUGAUUUUCUCAAUAAGCUCCCGCAGAAAUCCGCUUGCUUUUUUCAUAAUCAAGCUCUCUCUGCCGCUCUACUUUCAUUCUUGUUUCCAGCCGGCGUCCAUAUUCCUCGUAUCCAAUUCCGUGUGACAGCUGCAUCGCUUUUUCCAUUUCUGACGUAUAAUCGAGGUUCAGUCUGUCCUGGCUGCUGCAAAUAAUGAAUCAAUCCCUUCAUAUAUUUGCU
rnacentral:sRNA from 1 species